UCCCUAAGCUCUCACGUGACUGCUGACUUGAUCAUAGAGUUCCGCUACACAUAUAAAGCAGAGAGAACUCAGUAAGCAAACCCUGUCACACAGAAAGGAAUGACAGUCCAUCUGUUCUUUUUCUAGUGGAGUUUGAAGAAAAAGAAGAGAGAGGAUAAAGUCAGGUCCCAGUGAUCUCACUUUCCUCCCCUUAGCAUGGAGGUCAAUAAAAAACAUCUAGAAAAUGUGUUAGGGAAAAUGAGGAUCUUGGAGUUAGUGGACUGCUCGCCUGGGUCUAGAGAAGCCCUAUCUAUAGUGGCUCAAUGUGAUGUUUAACACUGGGUGAGAGAUAUAAUGCAGCAUUGGCAAAGGGAGGCGGCGCAGAGAUGGCAUCCCAUGCGUGCGUGUGCCAUGGGGGGGAUCCAGAUGUUAUUUUAAGGUCUUCAUAUUCAGUCCAGUCCCCUCCAGAACAUAGGCAACAGUUUAUUAGUCUCUUUAAGACUCAUGUUUUCAUUUUUCCUGUGGUUUUAUAGAUGUUUUAGUGAGAUAUUGUGUGAGCCUGCCUCAGGGAGUAGUAGCCUCAUUGUUGGCACACCAAAAAAGGGUCUGGGAUGGUUUUAGCCACCCCUAAGCCACCACCAAUAAUCCCCAUCACCCUUUAUCCUUUGAGAUGAACAGCUGACUUUCUCAAACUUAAUGUAAAAUGCUAUGCAAACCCAACUUCAGGCUUCCUUCCAACCCUAUUGCUGCCUCCAAGCCUUCCAUACAUAGAAAUUUUGUAAUCACCAGUGGCUAACCAGAUGCCAUUUUGAACUCUAAACUCUUAAAAUAGGCACUUGAACUUUGAAGUUUUGAUGUUUUCUUUCCUGAG
rnacentral:lncRNA from 1 species